UACGUAGGUGGCGAGCGUUGUCCGGAAUUACUGGGCGUAAAGGGUGCGUAGGCGGAUACUUAAGUCAGAUGUGAAAUUCCGGGGCUUAACUUCGGAACUGCAUUUGAAACUGGGUGUCUAGAGUGCAGGAGAGGAAAGCGGAAUUCCUAGUGUAGCGGUGAAAUGCGUAGAUAUUAGGAAGUACACCAGUGGCGAAGGCGGCUUUCUGGACUGUAACUGACGCUGAGGCACGAAAGCGUGGGGAGCAAACAGG
rnacentral:rRNA from 1 species